AUUAUUGUAAACCUAAAAAAGACUACUCAACAAUAGCCAAAUCCCAAAAGAAAACAUUAGCCCACAAUGAAGAAAUAAAUAGAGGUGUGUAACUAAAGAAAAAGAAACAGAUACAAACAAUAAAGGUGACAAUAAGUAGUAGCAAGGGUAGGUAGGUAAAUAUUGUACUAUACUGAAAACACAAACACUGAAAGCAGAUACUAGCAAUAAAGCUAACAAUAAAGAGUAGCAAGGGUAAGUAGGUAAAUAUUGUAUUAUACUAAAAAGUGAAAGCAGAUACUAGCAAUAAAGCUAACAAUAAAGAGUAGCAAGGGUAAGUAGGUAAAUAUUGUAUUAUACUAAAAAGUGAAAGCAGAUACUAGCAAUAAAGCUAACAAUAAAGAGUAGCAAGGGUAAGUAGGUAAAUAUUGUAUUAUACUAAAAAGUGAAAGCAGAUACUAGCAAUAAAGUUGAUAGUAAAGAGUAGCAAGGGUAGGUAGGUAAAUACUGUACUAUACUGAAAAAGUGAAAGCACAAACAGUGAAAGCAGAUACUGGCAAUAAAGCAGAAAGAAGAUACUGGCAAUACAGGCU
rnacentral:lncRNA from 1 species